AGCUGGUCUGAGUGCAGCGGUGUUUACGGCUGACUGACCACAAUCAGUUACGGGUUGCUUGGGCCUUCUCCAUUCCCACUGCUUCACUUGACUAGCCACAG
rnacentral:Y_RNA from 1 species